CUUUGCUUAAGCUGGUAAAAUGGAAUCAAAUCGCAUGUUUAAUGGAUUUGGUCCCCUUCAACCAGCUGUAGCUAUGU
ensembl:miRNA MIR133A1 microRNA 133a-1